rnacentral:rRNA from 1 species
GGAUAGCCGGGAGGCGCUGAAGCAGAGUCGUCAGGCUCUGUGGAGCCAUCCUUGAAAUACCGGCCUUGGCAAGUCGGAAAUCUAACAAGACCCUAUGAAUCUAGGGCUUGGACCAUGCCAGAUGGGCAGUUUGACUGGGGCGGUUUCCUCCUAAAAAGUAACGGAGGAGUGCGAAGGUACACUCAGCACGGUUGGCAACCGUGCGUCGAGCAUAUGGGUAGAAGUGUGCUUAACUGUG